GACGAACGCUGGCGGCGUGCUUAACACAUGCAAGUCGAACGGAAAGGCCCUGCUUUUGUGGGGUGCUCGAGUGGCGAACGGGUGAGUAACACGUGAGUAACCUGCCCUUGACUUUGGGAUAACUUCAGGAAACUGGGGCUAAUACCGGAUAGGAGCUCCUGCUGCAUGGUGGGCGUUGGAAAGUUUCGGCGGUUGGGGAUGGACUCGCGGCUUAUCAGCUUGUUGGUGGGGUAGUGGCUUACCAAGGCUUUGACGGGUAGCCGGCCUGAGAGGGUGACCGGCCACAUUGGGACUGAGAUACGGCCCAGACUCGUACGGGAGGCAGCGGUGGAGAAUAUUGCACAGUAGGCGGGAGCCUGAUGCAGCAACGCCGCGUGCGGGAUGACGGCCUUCGGGUUGUAAACCGCUUUCGCCUGUGACGAAGCGUGAGUGACGGUAAUGGGUAAAGAAGCACCGGCUAACUACGUG
rnacentral:rRNA from 1 species